GACGAACGCUGGCGGCGUGCUUAACACAUGCAAGUCGAACGCUGAAGCUCAGCUUUUGUUGGGUGGAUGAGUGGCACACGUGUGAGUCACACGUGAGUAACCUGCCUCGUUCUUUGGGAUAACGGGCGGCAACGGGUACUAAUACUGGAUAUUCACUGGUGUUCGCAUGGGGGUUGGUGGCCAGGGUGUUUCUGGUGGGGGUUGGGCUGGCGGCCUAUCGGCUGGUUUGUGGGGUGAUGGCGUACCCAGGCGUUAACGGGUCGGGGGUCUGAGAGGGUGACCGGUCACAUUGGGACUGAGAUACGGCCCAGACUCCUACGGGAGGCAGCAGUGGGGAAUAUUGCGCAAUGGGCGAAAGCCUGAUGCAGCGACGCCGCGUGAGGGAUGGGGGCCGUCGGGUUGUUAACCUCUGUCGCUCGUGAUGAAGGCGCAACAAUGGCUGUGUUGACGGUACCGGGUGAAGAAGCACCGGCUAACUACGUG
rnacentral:rRNA from 1 species